rnacentral:tRNA from 1 species
GCCUCUAUAGCUAAGUUUUAGAGGGCCUGUCUCUUAAACAGAAGGUCUUCGAUUCAAUCCCGCAUCGGGGCA